AGUGUAAAAUAUUUGUUAUGAAUAUUGCACAAACUUCAAUUCAAGUUUACUUUUUUGGCUUUUUAAUUGAUUUUGAUAAUAUCAUUAGUGAAUUUGCUCUUUUUGAAUUUGAGACCAAUUCACUAAUGAUGUCAACAAUUUCCAUGGAUUGGUGAAUUUCCAUGAAAACUGAAAUCCUAUGGAGUUUCCAUGGGAGAGCCAUGUUUUUUUUUUAAAUAGCUCAUGUUGUACUAAGGGUUUUACAAAUGUGCUUUUAAAGAUGCCGUCGUAAUUAGUAGAGUUCCAAUUAUGUGUAACAUGACAUUUAUUAAAUAAUAUUUUUUGCGUUCUUCUGUUUUUCUGUAUUAUAAGACUAAAUUAUAUGUUUUUUCAUAAUGAAUCAGAUUUAAUAUGAUUCAAACUAAACAUACAGACAUUAACAACUAGACAUAUUUGCAAUAGCUAGAAACGUAUGCAUUUUAUAAUGUAUCAUAGCAUGAUAUUAUCAAAGAUGUUGGUUUCGAGACUUAAAUCUUGGUCCCGAGACAUCUCGAGACUCAUUUAACUGUCUUGGUCUUAAUCUUGGUAUUGAAUCAAAGUGUCUCGGUUUUAGUCUGGUCUUUGCCUUUACUGUCUUUACGUCUCUGAAUAUUAUCAUAUUAUGAUGCAUUGUAAAAUGUAUAUAUUUAUUUUUUACUUAUAUAUUUAAAUACAUAUUAUUUAUGGAUUUACUUAUUUUAGCUCUUGCCACUAGCUUUGCUUACUUUGCAUAACUUAUUUAUUAUUAUUUGCAAUAGUAUAGCAAGUAUGUUGUGUGAAUCAGUUUGAUUUGUAAUGUUUAUUUGGUUUACUACAAAUAUUUUAGCUUUAAUGUACAUUAGAUAGCUAGUGUAUUAGAUAGGCUUAGGUAAGCAGUGUAUUGGACAAGAUUGGAUAACUAAUGUACAAAAGAUAACUUGUCCUUUUUUUUUUUUUAUGGCUUUAGUUUGUAUAAAAUUUUUUUAAGUUAAAACACUUAAAUCUAUGGUAAAUGUUUAUUAAGUAUUGAAAAACUUUAUAUUUUAAUAAAUGUUUUAUUCAAUUUUAGUUCUGUUAUUCAUUAUUCAUUAUUCAUCGUUUAUAUCAUUUAUAACAUUGUCAAUUUUUAUAUACAUUUAAUAUUUUUAUAAAUAAUUCAAAAGCUGUCUGAAAACAAAAUGGUGAAUUGAGUUUGAAUUAACCAGAAAGGAUAUGUGUAAUCUUUGGGAUUCAACCUGUAAUGAUGUUUCCAGAGCAACUUAGUUAGAGAAGGAAAACUACAGCAAUUUUUUAAAAAUAUCUGAAAGGCAGGAAAGUUUGACUGGAAAUAUAAAUGAUGUUGUUCAUCAUGCAGAUAGCUUGGGCGAAAAAGAGGUUGGUGAAAUGGACAAUGAUACUAACUCUGCUGAAAACAAAAAUGAAUAUCAAAAUAUGAAUGGUAAUUUGUUUGACAAUUACCUGGUUCUGCAGUUUCAGUUGGCAGUGCAAUUGCACUUAUAAAUGGUCUUACAAUCGCACUUAUAAAUGGUCUUGAUAUUUUUUUGGAUUAAAUAUGUUGUAUUGAUAAUUCUUUUUAUUUUAUCGAAACUUGAAGUCAUUAUUUAUCAUACUUAUAUACACUAUUUUUAUCAAAUAGUCCUUGUUACUUGUUAUUUUUAUCAGUCAAUUGUUUGUAACUAACUUAUAUGUAUAUUUAGCUAUUGUGUUUAUAAAAACAAGUGACUUUUUAUAUUGAUUAUUAUUACUAUAGUU